CGGAGGAGUACGAAGGUGCGCUCAGACCGGUCGGAAAUCGGUCGUAGAGUAUAAAGGCAAAAGCGCGCUUGACUGCGAGACAGACACGUCGAGCAGGUACGAAAGUAGGUCAUAGUGAUCCGGUGGUUCUGUAUGGAAGGGCCAUCGCUCAACGGAUAAAAGGUACUCCGGGGAUAACAGGCUGAUACCGCCCAAGAGUUCAUAUCGACGGCGGUGUUUGGCACCUCGAUGUCGGCUCAUCACAUCCUGGGGCUGAAGUCGGUCCCAAGGGUAUGGCUGUUCGCCAUUUAAAGUGGUACGCGAGCUGGGUUUAGAACGUCGUGAGACAGUUCGGUCCCUAUCUGGUGUGGGCGUUGGAUGAUUGAUGGGAGCUGCUCCUAGUACGAGAGGACCGGAGUGGACGAACCGCUGGUGUUCGGGUUGUCAUGCCAAUGGCAUUGCCCGGUAGCUAUGUUCGGAACGGAUAACCGCUGAAAGCAUCUAAGCGGGAAGCCGGCCCAAAGAUGAGUCAUCCCUGACCUUUAAGGUCUGGAAGGGUUGUUAUAGACGAUGACGUUGAUAGGCAGGGUGUGGAAGCGUUGUAAGGCGUUAAGCUAACCUGUACUAAUUGCCCGAGAGGCUUAACC
rnacentral:rRNA from 1 species